GCAGUAGGGAAUCUUCCACAAUGGACGAAAGUCUGAUGGAGCAACGCCGCGUGAGUGAAGAAGGGUUUCGGCUCGUAAAACUCUGUUGUUAAAGAAGAACAUAUCUGAGAGUAACUGUUCAGGUAUUGACGGUAUUUAACCAGAAAGCCACGGCUAACUACGUGCCAGCAGCCGCGGUAAUACGUAGGUGGCAAGCGUUGUCCGGAUUUAUUGGGCGUAAAGCGAGCGCAGGCGGUUUUUUAAGUCUGAUGUGAAAGCCUUCGGCUCAACCGAAGAAGUGCAUCGGAAACUGGGAAA
rnacentral:rRNA from 1 species